GGAUUACAGGCUGCAACUCGCCUGCAUGAAGCUGGAAUUGCUAGUAAUCGCGGAUCAGCAAGCCGCGGUGAAUACGUUCCCGGGCCUUGUACACACCGCCCGUCACACCAUGAGAGUCGGGAACACCCGAAGUCCGUAGUCUAACCGCAAGGGGGGCGCGGCCGAAGGUGGGUCCGGUAAUUGGGGUGAAGUCGUAACAAGGUACC
rnacentral:rRNA from 1 species